rnacentral:rRNA from 1 species
GAUGAACGCUGGCGGCGUGCCUAAUACAUGCAAGUCGAGCGAACAGACGAGGAGCUUGCUCCUCUGACGUUAGCGGCGGACGGGUGAGUAACAUGUGGAUAACUUACCUAUAAGACUGGGAUAACUUCGGGAAACCGGGGCUAAUAACGGCUAAUAUCUUGAACCGCAUGGUUCAAUAGUGAAAGACGGUUUUGCUGUCACUUAUCGAUGGAUCCGUUCCGUAUUAGCUAGUUGGUAAGGUAACGGCUUACCAAGGCGACGAUGCGUAGCCGGCCUGAGAGGGUGAUCGGCCACACUGGGACUGAGACACGGUCCAGACUCCUACGGGAGGCAGCAGUAGGGAAUCUUCCGCAAUGGGCGAAAGCCUGACGGAGCAACGCCGCGUGAGUGAUGAAGGUCUUCGGAUCGUAAAACUCUGUUAUUAGGAAAGAACAAAUGUGUAAGUAACUAUGCACGUCUUGACGGUACCUAAUCAGAAAGCCACGGCUAACUACGUG